CCUACGGGUGGCAGCAGUAGGGAAUAUUGCUCAAUGGGGGAAACCCUGAAGCAGCAACGCCGCGUGGAGGAUGAAGGUUUUCGGAUUGUAAACCCCUUUUGUUAGAGAAGAUAAUGACGGUAUCUAACGAAUAAGCACCGGCUAACUCCGUGCCAGCAGCCGCGGUAAUACGGAGGGUGCAAGCGUUAUUCGGAAUCACUGGGCGUAAAGAGCGCGUAGGCGGGAUAGCAAGUCAGAUGUGAAAUCCUAUGGCUUAACCAUAGAACUGCAUUUGAAACUGUUAUUCUAGAGUAUGGGAGAGGUAGGUGGAAUUCGUGGUGUAGGGGUGAAAUGCGUAGAGAUCAAGAGGAAUACUGAUUGCGAAGGCGACCUGCUAGAACGUAACUGACGCUGAUGCGCGAAGGCGUGGGGAGCAAACAGGAUUAGAUACCCCAGUAGUC
rnacentral:rRNA from 1 species